GGGCCGUUGGAGCAGACGGAAGCUCACCCGGCUCUCACCCGGGAGGUCGCGGGUUCGAACCCCGCACGGCCCA
rnacentral:tRNA from 1 species